AGAAUCAACGCUGGCGGCGUGCCUCAGACAUGCAAGUCGAACGCGAAAGUCCCCUUCGGGGGACGAGUAGAGUGGCGCACGGGUGAGUAACACGUAGGUAAUCUACCUUUGGAUGGGGAAUAACAACCGGAAACGGUUGCUAAUACCGCAUAAUGCAGCGGCACCUAAUGGUGACAGUUGUUAAAGCGGGGGAUCGAAAGACCUCGCGUCUGAAGAGGAGCCUGCGGCGGAUUAGCUAGUUGGUAAGGUAACGGCUUACCAAGGCGACGAUCC
rnacentral:rRNA from 1 species